ACGAACGCUGGCGGCAGGCUUAACACAUGCAAGUCGAACGGUUGUAGCAAUACAGCAGUGGCAGACGGGUGAGUAACACGUGGGAACCUUCCUAGGGGUACGGAACAACUCAGGGAAACUUGAGCUAAUACCGUAUACGUCCGUGAGGAGAAAGAUUUAUCGCCCCUAGACGGGCCCGCGUCCGAUUAGCUAGUUGGUGAGGUAAUGGCUCACCAAGGCUACGAUCGGUAGCUGGUCUGAGAGGAUGAUCAGCCACACUGGGACUGAGACACGGCCCAGACUCCUACGGGAGGCAGCAGUGGGGAAUAUUGGACAAUGGGCGCAAGCCUGAUCCAGCCAUGCCGCGUGAGUGAAGAAGGCCUUAGGGUUGUAAAGCUCUUUCGACGGGGACGAUGAUGACGGUACCCGUAGAAGAAGCCCCGGCUAACUUCGU
rnacentral:rRNA from 1 species